GAUAUUGGCAGGGUGAUAAAAAGAAGAUUUGGGUUAGCGAACAAGAUCUGUGACAUUUAACAAAGCACAUACCACAGAAGCGAGGAGGAGAUUACGGAGAGAGAAAACAGCAUAGGAGAGAGAGAGAGAGAGAAAAAAUAACGACGAGCGAGAGAUGGAGUUGCUACGGGAAAGGAGAGCAGACUGAGGCGAGCCACGGGGGAGAAGGCAGCCGUGGGUGCCCUUGAAAUUGCCUGACUCAUUACUGCAGCAGCACGGCCGUGCGUGGUGAUGGCAGGCUCAGAGAGUGAGCUCUCGGCUGGGCUCCGACAGUCGUGGAGUGAAAAACGGCCCUGUUUUAAAACCAUCGGGGGAUCACUUCAAAGGCUGGCACCUUCACUCUCCCUCUUCAAACAACCACGCUGCAUUACAGCGAGGCAAAUGAUUUGGCAGCAGGAGCGUUUACAGAGGCAAAGGAUGCAAAUCAGCAGGAGGUAAAGCCCCCGACACAGCAACAAGACCCAUGGCCUGAGCUCUGAUCGUGACAUGCACUGACUGCCAGUGUUGAGCUGUCGGAGUUAAGCCGGGCAACAACAAGGAGGGCCCUGUUCAGACCUGGUAGUAACAUCCGUCCUGAGAGAUCCAAUCACAAGUGGACAGCUUUAGUAUUGUAGAUCUGGGAAGCCUCCCGUUCCUGCCAGAAUACAAAAUGCCAGAUCGCCGCCUUGAAAAGAGUUCCAAGCCAAGGGAAGAGCCGGUGCCCAUGGAAAAAAGGAAGCAUCUUGUGCUGGGCCUAAUUACUUCUGCUCCAAGAUUACACGUCUUUGACCUUUUCUCAGGCUUUCAGCGCAGACCCCAAUUGGAAGUUAAGGAGAACAGCAAUGAUGUUCACAGCACUGAUAAUUAUAUUCAAUGCACAACACAGAAGGUUACGACUGUAGCUCUGUGCAACACACCGCCUAUCUGACUAUGGAUGAGUGUUAUCUAUUCAUUGAAUUUACUGUCUUUUAUUCCAUGUUUAAAGAUCAUAUAUUCUCU